rnacentral:rRNA from 1 species
GACGAACGCUGGCGGCGCGCCUAACACAUGCAAGUCGAACGGAGCGCACUAGAUGAAGACUUCGGUUGGAAUUUGGUGUUUGCUUAGUGGCGAACGGGUGAGUAACACGUGAGUAACCUGCCCUUGAGUGGGGGACAACAGUUGGAAACGACUGCUAAUACCGCAUAAGACCACGGAGUCGCAUGACUCUGGGGCCAAAGGAGCAAUUCGCUUAAGGAUGGACUCGCGUCCAAUUAGCUAGAUGGUGAGGUAACGGCCCACCAUGGCGACGAUUGGUAGCCGGACUGAGAGGUUGAACGGCCACAUUGGGACUGAGACACGGCCCAGACUCCUACGGGAGGCAGCAGUGGGAAAUAUUGCACAAUGGGCGAAAGCCUGAUGCAGCGACGCCGCGUGAGGGAAGAAGGUUUUCGGAUUGUAAACCUCUGUCUUUGGGGACGAAGAAGUGACGGUACCCAAGGAGGAAGCCACGGCUAACUACGUGCCAGCAGCCGCGGUAAUAC